UACGGGGGGGGGCAAGCGUUUGUUCGGAAUUACUGGGCGUAAAGGGCUCGUAGGUGGCCAACUAAGUCAGACGUGAAAUCCCCAGGCUUAACCUGGGAACUGCGUCUGAUACUGGAUGGCUUGAAUUCGGGAGAGGGAUGCAGAAUUCCAGGUGUAGCGGUGAAAUGUGUAGAUAUCUGGAGGAACACCGGUGGCGAAGGCGGCAUCCUGGACCGGUAUUGACGCUGAUGCGCGAAAGCCAGGGGAGCAAACGGGAUUAGAUACCCCGUAGUACGUC
rnacentral:rRNA from 1 species